rnacentral:snRNA from 1 species
UUUUGACAUUGUGGGCUGGCCU